rnacentral:misc_RNA from 1 species
CCAACAUCUUUGGAGACAAUGUCAAAUCGCCCUGUUUUCUCUAGUCCUUCUUUCAGCACCCUUGUAUUUUCCAUACAGUUUUCAAUGACUCUCUUAUAACCCUCAAAACCAAGCCUUAUAAACUGAUAAUAUUGAGCAAUAAUUUGACUAGAGCCUUUUGAGAAGUUGAGAGUGAAAGUGGGUUGAUCAGAUCCAAGGUAGUUAAUGUGAAAUAUAAGCUCCUCCGGCAAGUCUUCUUUAGCUCUCCAGAUGACCCAACCAACACCAGCAUAAACAAGGCCAUACUUAUGCCCACUUACAUUAAUACUCUUCACCAAUGGCAAACGGAAGUCCCAUAGAAGAUCUGGGCAAACAAAAGGAGCAAUGAAGCCUCCACUGGCAGCAUCAACAUGAAUUGGGGUGUUCCAUCCGGUCUCCUCAUUCUUUUUAGUGAGUAGUUCGUUAAGAAGCUUCACAUCUUCAAACUCUCCUGUCAGGGUUGAUCCCAAAAUGGCUGCAACACAGAUUGUAUUCUCAUCUACCAUCUCAACUGCUUUCACAGGGUCCAUCACAUAAUAGCCCUCUGUCAGCUUCACCUCCUUCAGUUCAACUUCAAAGUACCUUGCAAAUUUCUCCCAGCAGACUUGCACAUUAGCUCCAGUCACAAUGUUGGGCUUAUCAUACGGUUUGCCCUCUGCCUUUCUCUUGUUCUGCCACUUCCUUUUAAAAGCUAAUCCAGCCAGCAUUAUUGCCUCUGAUGAUCCCACAGUCCCCACGCCGAUUGCAGUUUCAUCAUCUCCAACAGGAGCAUGGAGCAGGUGAGCUAUCAUAUUCACACACCGAUUCUGGAGCUCAGUGGUAACAGGGUACUCAUCCAUAUCAACAUAAUUCUUGUUCAUAGAAGCCAUAAUGAGAUCAUUGCACUCAGGCUCCAUCCAAGUGGUGACAAAAGAAGCCAAGUUAAGCCUUGGAUUCCCAUCCAGCAUCAGCUCAUCAUUGAUCACCUGAUAUGCUGCUUCCUUGGGCAUCGACUUCUCUGGCAUCUUAAACCUUGGAACAGGAGCGCGAACAUAUCUGGAAGCAAAAGUGGAGUGCAGAAGCGCAUCGGAGUCGGCAGCAAUGGUGCUAGCGAUGACCAUCCUUGUUGAGUUAUUCUUAUGAGAAUGAGGAGUGGAUUAA